GAAAAAGAAGGGAAGAUGGGUGGCCGAUGAUUCAAUAAUCUUAUUUUUAUUUUUGAAGUACAUUUUAUAUUUCAAGAAAUUAAAAUAGGAUUAGUCUGCCCAUUUUUCUAAAAUACGUGUAUUAGCUAUUGAUAUCAAUAGUUUAUUUAACAUUGUAAAAAUGCGACUAAUCCUUCCAACAUUAUUUGGGAGGAUUUUUU
rnacentral:sRNA from 1 species